rnacentral:rRNA from 1 species
AUUGAACGCUGGCGGCAUGCCUUACACAUGCAAGUCGAACGGCAGCACGGGAGCAAUCCUGGUGGCGAGUGGCGAACGGGUGAGCAAAGUAUCGGAACGUGCUCAGUCGUGGGGGAUAACGUAGCGAAAGUUACGCUAAUACCGCAUACGAUCUAUGGAUGAAAGCGGGGGAUCGCAAGACCUCGCGCGAUUGGAGCGGCGGAUAUCAGAUUAGGUAGUUGGUGGGGUAAAGGCUCACCAAGCCGACGAUCUGUAGCUGGUCUGAGAGGACGAGCAGCCACACUGGGACUGAGACACGGCCCAGACUCCUACGGGAGGCAGCAGUGGGGAAUUUUGGACAAUGGGCGAAAGCCUGAUCCAGCCAUGCCGCGUGCAGGAUGAAGGCCUUCGGGUUGUAAACUGCUUUUGUACGGAACGAAAAGGUUUGGGCUAAUAAGCUGAGCUCAUGACGGUACCGUAAGAAUAAGCACCGGCUAACUACGUGCCAGCCGCCGCAGUAA